CAUAAAACACUGCCCUUGGGAUUCUAUUAUCCUUCAUUUGAACAAGAUGGCCACACCAUCGAAGUUGAGUGUGUGGUAGUAGACCCUCAAUUCCAGGCAUGUUGCAUUUCUUCAUAACCUCGGUAUUGGGUAUCAUGUCUUGCCAUAAUAUAUUUCCAAUUUUGCGAAGACAUCGCAUGUGAAAUUGGUUGAGCUGUUUAAUGUGCCUUCAAGUCUCACAACCAUAAAGUAAAGUGGUGAUCACAAUCUUGUGUUUGUAGUCAAUAAAUGUUUUCGUUUUGAUAUGAUUGUUUUCUGUUUAGUGGAGCCCCUUGAGGUAUCGCUGCUGCUUUUUUUAUGUCCCAAUUGGAGAUGUAUGCUAACUGCUGCGUAUUACAUUUUGUUUUUUUCUGGAGACACACAGAUCCAAGUUUAAUACUAACCUUUUCACUGAGUUUCAACUUGAUUUGACAUGUAGGAUCAUUUACUAUGCACAGGACAUUUUUUGGUUUGCUAUUCUUGGAAUGCUUGGUGGUUUGAUUGGCGGCGUCUUCAACUUCCUUGUGUGUGCUGUCACAAAACUCUAAUGGGGAUUAAGUAUAUUUAUCCACUUGGUUGGAGACGAAUUUUAGAGAAAUCGACUUUCUCGAGAAACAAUUGACUCCAGGAAAGCUUUGCGUGAUGCAGUUAUUAUACAAGACGGCAGAAAUUCUAGAAGAGUAACCUGGAUAACUUCCAUUAUUGCACCUGCCAGAAGACGAAUUACAUGUGUGGUUUAGGCAUAAGUCACCUAUGUUUCGAUUAAUUAACAUUUCUGGAUCUCGAUAAGUUCAUCUUUUGAGAUUCUCCAGAGUUACACAGAAAGUGCCUUUUCUUCAGGGAGCUGCCGUGACCAAUUUUCUGAAGAAAUGAGUGCAACUAAGUUUGUAUAGCUGCAUUGCAUUUUGACUCGUAGUGCUUUUAGCUAUUGUACUUUGUACAUUUGAUAGAUUAUUUGCAGGAUCUUUUGGGAGACCAGCCAUGCUGAAAGUGAUUUCUGAAUAGAUUUGCAUACAUGAUGAUGGUGGGUGUAUCUAUUUAUAUCUAUAAUGCUCACUUGAGCGAUCUGCCAUUCAUUGUGUCCCUGGCUGUUAGAUUGGGAGUCUUCUCAGAUAGGGCUCCAUAUAUGAGGGCUAGCUGUUACAGUAAUUCUGGUUUCAAAACUUGAUAAAUACCAAAGGGCGGUGUUUCUUUAC